CAAUAGCGUAUAUUUAAGUUGCUGCAGUUAAAAAGCUCGUAGUUGGAUUUCGGGUGGGAAUGGCCGGUCCGCCGUUUCGGUGUGCACUUGCUACGCCCACCUUGCUGCCGGGGACGUGCUCUUGAGUUCACGCUCGGGACACGGAGUCGGCGAGGUUACUUUGAGUAAAUUAGAGUGUUCAAAGCAGGCCUACGCUCUGAAUACAUUAGCAUGGAAUAACACGAUAGGACUCUGGCCUAUCUUGUUGCUCUGUAGGACCGGAGUAAUGAUUAAGAGGGACAGUCGGGGGCAUUCGUAUUUCAUUGUCAGAGGUGAAAUUCUUGGAUUUAUGAAAGACGAACUACUGCGAAAGCAUUUGCCAAGGAUGUUUUCAUUAA
rnacentral:rRNA from 1 species